AUGUGUGAACUCCCUAACCCGGACUGCGAGUUCCGCGAGUGGUUCUCUGCUGCCAUUCAUGGCUCCCCGACUGCCCUUCGCCGAGGGCUCGCCACCAUCAUCAUCCUUACCAUCUGGAGACUCUGGAAGCACCGCAAUGAUUGUGUGUUCAACGCCGCCAACCCCUCUAUCUCCAGACUCUCCGACAGCAUUAAGGAAGACACCCGCGCUUGGGUGCGCGCCGGGGCCAAGGGGCUUGGCCAGAUUAUCGACGAGACGUAG
rnacentral:rRNA from 1 species